rnacentral:rRNA from 1 species
UGGGGAAUAUUGCACAAUGGGCGCAAGCCUGAUGCAGCCAUGCCGCGUGUGUGAAGAAGGCCUUCGGGUUGUAAAGCACUUUCAGCGGGGAGGAAGGCGAUAAGGUUAAUAACCUUGUCGAUUGACGUUACCUGCAGAAGAAGCACCGGCUAACUCCGUGCCAGCAGCCGCGGUAAUACGGAGGGUGCAAGCGUUAAUCGGAAUUACUGGGCGUAAAGCGCACGCAGGCGGUCUGUCAAGUCGGAUGUGAAAUCCCCGGGCUUAACCUGGGAACUGCAUUCGAAACUGGCAGGCUAGAGUCUUGUAGAGGGGGGUAGAAUUCCAGGUGUAGCGAUGAAAUGCGUAGAGAUCUGGAGGAAUACCGGUGGCGAAGGCGGCCCCCUGGACAAAGACUGACGCUCAGGUGCGAAAGCGUGGGGAGCAAACAGG